rnacentral:lncRNA from 1 species
CCCCAAGCAGAGCCUCUGGGCUGGACUGGGGCAGGAGCCUGGAGAAGAGGAAACAUCUCUGCAGAUGCAUCCCUGAAGCCCACCACUGCCCCCUUGCUUUCAGGUUGUGAAGAAGACAAUUUACCCCGGAAAUACUGAGGGGAAGUUGUACAGAAAGAACCAAGCAAACAUCCUUUUCCUGCUCGCCUCUACCCAUUUCUGAUGCUGGGUGACAGGAACAAAGAUGUCUUGCGGGUGAGGGAGAUGCAGAAUUUUCUAGGCAGGAAAGCUCUAGCAAAAUAAAUCAGGGCAUGAAUGUAAAAGAGCUGUAGUAUUCCUCCCUCAUUUACCGAGCGGGUUAUAACAGGGACUCCGUGGGAGAAGUGUGCACCUCCCUGAUAGGAAGACAGCUCACGGUGUCUCAGAAGGAAUGAAGAGCCCUUGACAGCCUUCCCAGCAGAGCAGGCUGGGGAGCCCAGUGCUGCAGGCACGCGGCUGGGGCGGAGAUGCUGGAAGCCAGAGUGGGCAAGCAAAGGAGCUGCCACAACGAAGCAGCAGCUUCAAGAAGCUGCUGAAAAUGACAGCACCUGGGAAAGGACCACAGAAGUUUUUGCUGGGUUGAUCUCUGUCAGGCACAAGCACUCAGAAAUACCCUCACAGCCCCUCUGCAGCGUGUGCUGGGAAUACAAUCCUGGUGUGAUGUGGUGUGGCUGCAGUUUGUGCUGCUGCAGCUUCAAGAGCUUAUGUUGAAGUAUCUGCUCUGCACCCCAGAAGAUACCUGUCAACGUCUUGUGGGCAUAACACUUGCUCUCACCAAGAACACCCAGAGGGGAAGACACUAUUAAUUUUGGAUGAAGAGAGCUCUCCAAAACCCUGUAGCUCAGAAAGCUAAAGAGUACUGGUUAUAGUGCUGUGUAUAGUGCUCAUGGCUGGACUGAUGGAUAUUACAAUAACACUGAGACUUCCUGCAGCUGAUACACAGACUGGUUUAAGCACCUGCUGUCCUGUAGAAUGCUGGUAAGCUGAGGAACAUUAUGGCUAGUCCAUCCUAAAUCUUCUGUCUUCUCCCAAAAAGAGUUGCUUAAAAAGCUGUACAGUGAGAGACACUGCAUCUAAUGGAAAAUGAAGAGAAAAGGAAGAAUAAGUUGGCUAGAGACUGGAGCAGGGGCCCAGAGAAGCUGUGGGGGUCUCCAUGCUUGGUGACAAUACUAACUGGACAAGACACUGAGCAACACGAGGUGACUUUGAAGAUGGCCAUUCUCUGAGUGGCAGGUUGGACCAAGCAACCUCCAGAAGUCCCUUCCAACAUGAAUUAUUCUGUGAUUUUUAUGAAAAGCAAAAAUCACGCCAUACAGCCAGGCAUCCCACUGUAGCACUAGAGGCAAAAUUUUUGCUGCAUUUUUCAUAAGAUCACCAACCUGCUUCUGUGGAGUUGGAGAAAAAGACCCACAGAUGUGUUGUGAAAACAGAAGCAUGCACAGAAGGGAUGCUGCUGCCUGCUGGAGGAGGCAUGAGCUGAUCAAGGCAGCCAGCUUUGCCAUCCAGUUCUGAAAGUCAUUCCUUUCCUGUUCAUCCAACAGAGCAAAAAGAACAUCCAUGUAGCUCAACUUUGCACAUCUUUCUGAACCAUAGGGCUGCAUAUCCUGCCUCCAUUCUCAUUUUCCUUUUGAUUGCUUAAAUCUCAGUUACUAGCAAAGACAUAUGCUUUCAGCAGAGGACAAGCAAACAAGUUUCAAUGCCAGCUUGCCUG